UGAAGAUGAUCCCUUUAGAUGACGAGUCUGACUUCCGGCUUCCGGCUGAAGACAACAUCUUUUUAAUACCAUUCAUGCAUUUCUGAAU
rnacentral:snoRNA from 1 species